GGCCGGAUGGUGGAAUCGGUAGACACAAGGGCUGUGUGGGUUCAAGUCCCACUCCGGCUACCA
rnacentral:tRNA from 1 species